CUGAUUUUACAGCAUAAGCUGACAAAAUUAAUAUUUUUUUAACGUGCUAUAUUUUCAUUGAAAAGUCGUAUGCCGUCAACACUCGUAGCCCAUUUUUGCCUUGUGACUGUACUUAUUUGCCAGUCUUUUUAUGCGAAGCUAUUUUCAAAAAAGCAAAGCGAUUUGAUUGUUUUUUUAGUAAGUUGGUAAUUAUGGCGGUUUUGUUUUGAAAAAAAAACUGCUCCAAAUGCUGUUUGAAUAUCUCACCAUUUUAAUUUUGUAGAAAAACUUUUGGCUUGAAAAUAUCCUGAUAUAAAUGUUUUUAUGCCAUAUUUUAAAAUGGAUCAAGGUUUCGACAAAACUUUUGUAGCUUUAAGAGUUUCAAAAGAGAGUGUUAUAUUUACUUACUGAUACAAAAAAUGAGCUACGAAGCCAUAACACAGUGACCAAGUCGGAUUAUAAUAGUGAUUUUACGAGCCAAAUACGGUUUAUUUUGUCAGUAGCUAAGUUUGAUCAUCAUGGGAGAAUCAAUAACAAUUAACUGGUGGAAUAUCUUUAAAAGACAGAAUUCACAAAAUAGUGCUGAGGAAAUCAAAAUAACUUUUGAUUAUUCAUGAACUUUAAGAAUUAAGUUAUUUAGAAGAAAAUUGUUUGAUAAUGAGUCCAAUUUAAAUAUUUGAAAAAUAAAUUUAAUAUUA